GACGAACGCUGGCGGCAUGCCUAACACAUGCAAGUCGAACGAGACCUUCGGGCCUAGUUGCGCACCGCGGCUGACCGCGUGGGAACCUACCCGUGGGUUCGGAAUAACUCCCCGAAAGGGGUCCUAAUACAGGAUAAUGUCUUCCGACCAAAGAUUUAUCGCCAUUGGAUGGGCCCGCGUUGGUUUAGCUAGUUGGUAGGGUAAAAGCCUACCAAGGAGACGUUCCAUAGCUGGUCUGAGAGGAUGAUCAUCCACAAUGGGAAUGAGACACGGCCCAGAAUCGUACGCGAGGGAGCAGUGGGGAAUAUUGGACGCUGAGGGCAGGCGUGACCCAGCCAUGCCGGGGGAGUGAUGAAGGCCUUAGGGUUGUAAAGCUCUUUUAGCCGGGAUGAUAAUGACGGUACCGGGAGAAUAAGCUCCGGCUAACUACGUG
rnacentral:rRNA from 1 species